UACAGAGGGUGCAAGCGUUGUUCGGAAUUACUGGGCGUAAAGGGCUCGUAGGCGGCCAACUAAGUCAUACGUGAAAUCCCUCGGCUUAACCGGGGAACUGCGUCUGAUACUGGAUGGCUUGAGUUCGGGAGAGGGAUGCGGAAUUCCAGGUGUAGCGGUGAAAUGCGUAGAUAUCUGGAGGAACACCGGUGGCGAAGGCGGCAUCCUGGACCGAUACUGACGCUGAGGAGCGAAAGCCAGGGGAGCAAACGGG
rnacentral:rRNA from 1 species